AAUGGGGGAAACCCUGACCCAGCGACGCCGCGUGAGGGAAGACGGUCUUCGGAUUGUAAACCUCUGUCUUUGGGGACGAAAAAGGACGGUACCCAAGGAGGAAGCUCCGGCUAACUACGUGCCAGCAGCCGCGGUAAUACGUAGGGAGCGAGCGUUGUCCGGAAUUACUGGGUGUAAAGGGAGCGUAGGCGGGAAGGCAAGUUGGAUGUGAAAACUGUGGGCUCAACCGACAGACUGCAUUCAAAACUGUUUUUCUUGAGUGAAGUAGAGGCAAGCGGAAUUCCUAGUGUAGCGGUGAAAUGCGUAGAUAUUAGGAGGAACACCAGUGGCGAAGGCGGCUUGCUGGGCUUUUACUGACGCUGAGGCUCGAAAGUGUGGGGAGCAAA
rnacentral:rRNA from 1 species